rnacentral:rRNA from 1 species
AGUGAACGCUGGCGGUAGGCCUAACACAUGCAAGUCGAACGGUAGCACAGUAAGAGCUUGCUCUUACGGGUGGCGAGUGGCGGAUGGGUGAGGAAUACAUCGGCAUCUACUUUUUCGUGGGGGAUAACGUAGGGAAACUUACGCUAAUACCGCAUACGACCUACGGGUGAAAGCAGGGGAUCUUCGGACCUUGCGCGAUUGAAUGAGCCGAUGUCGGAUUAGCUAGUUGGCGGGGUAAAGGCCCACCAAGGCGACGAUCCGUAGCUGGUCUGAGAGGAUGAUCAGCCACACUGGAACUGAGACACGGUCCAGACUCCUACGGGAGGCAGCAGUAGGGAAUAUUGGACAAUGGGCGCAAGCCUGAUCCAGCCAUGCCGCGUGGGUGAAGAAGGCCUUCGGGUUGUAAAGCCCUGUUGUUGGGAAAGAAAAGCAGCAGAUUAAUACCCCGCUGUUCUGACGGUACCCAAAGAAUAAGCACCGGCUAACUUCGUG